AAGAUUAUGAUAUGGAAUGCCCAUACCCCUUCAGUAAAAGUGAUGUUAUCAGUGUAGUGCCUUCGUGUAAACAUGUUGGAUGCUCUUCUGCUGAUGGACGAACUUUACUAGAAUCAUCUAAGGUUGCUCUUGACAAAGGGAAGUUGGAAGAUGCUGUAAUGUAUGGAACAAAGGCCCUGGCAAAAAUGAUAGCUGUAUGUGGCCCCUAUCACCGUGCCACUGCAAGUGCAUAUAGCCUCCUGGCUGUUGUCCUUUAUCACACCGGAGAUUUCAAUCAGGCAACAAUU
rnacentral:misc_RNA from 1 species